rnacentral:misc_RNA from 1 species
AGAAGUAAAAGUCGUAACAAGGUCUCCGUUGGUGAACCAGCGGAGGGAUCAUUACAGGACUCGCAAGACUCCUACAACCCUGUGAACUUAACUAUAAGCACGUUGCUUCGGCGGGUGUCUCGGAGGGGGUUCUCCCUCCCCGAGACGCUAAACCCGCCGGCAGCCUACUAUACUCUGUCUCUUUGCGUUGGCAUCUCGAGUACAAUCAAACAAGUUAAAACUUUCAACAACGGAUCUCUUGGUUCUG